rnacentral:tRNA from 1 species
GCGGACGUGGUGGAACUGGUAGACACACGAGACUUAAAAUCUCGCGCUUUCCAAAGCGUGCGGGUUCAAGUCCCGCCGUCCGCACCA